rnacentral:rRNA from 1 species
AUUGAACGCUGGCGGCAGGCCUAACACAUGCAAGUCGAGCGAGCGGCGGACGGGUGAGUAAUGUCUGGGAAACUGCCUGAUGGAGGGGGAUAACUAAUGGAAACGGUAGCUAAUACCGCAUACCAUCAGAUGUGCCCAGAGGGGAUUAGCUAGUAGUUGGGGUAUGGGCUCACCUAGGCGACGAUCCCUAGCUGGUCUGAGAGGAUGACCAGCCACACUGGAACUGAGACACGGUCCAGACUCCUGCGUGAGGCAGCAGUGGGGAAUAUUGCGCAAUGGGCGCAAGCCUGAUACAGCCAUGCCGCGUGUAUGAAGAAGGCCUUCGGGUUGUAAAGUACUUUCAGCGAGGAGGCGUUACUCGCAGAAGAAGCACCGGCUAACUCCGUGCCAGCAGCCGCGGUAAUAC